UCCUCCUCCUCUUCUCACCUGCGUAGCGCCGCCACCCCGCCUCACGCAUGGACGCACCGCCUCCGCCUCGACCUCCUCCUCCCCUAUGCGCGCCGUCGCCAUGGCCGCCGCCGCUGCCACCGCUGCAACGACGACGAAGACGACCUAUACGACGACGGCGAGGACAUGCGAUGGGAGUCCAUGUUCCAAGAUCUCAAGCCCACAUAGGAGACAGCUAGCUUAGCUGUAUGCGUCGUGCCCAUCAAUGGCGAGCUCCAAACAUGCAACAAUGCCUGCUCGAUCUGUGUGCGGAGGAAGAAGAAAAGAAAGGAUGAUAAUACAUAUGCAUCCAUGGUAUUCUUUGCGGAUGAUCUUACGAUGGCAAUGGUUCUCACGAAAGAUUAAACCUGACAAUCUUGGCAUACUAUCACAUCGAACCUUUCAAUUUGGCCACUCUGGAGAAUGACAGAGCAUUUGCAUCGAUGAUGUUCGUUAUGGACAAUCUUACAUUGGUGAUGUUGAUACAUAUGGCAUAGAAGACUCUGAAAACUUGGCAAUCUCAAUAUAUUAUAACAUCAUACCUUUGAAUCUGGCCAUCCUAUAGGAGUAUAGCUCAGUGCAAUGCAAGAAAACAAAAGCAGUACUUGCUGCUCUUCUCAUGCAAAUAUGGUGUAAUAGCUUCCUACAUAAGGUAAUGGUCUGAAUCCCAAUGUGGAGAAAUACAACUUUUUCUUCAUUUUUUGUUUGCAUAGAUCAAUUUGAACUUAUUUCCAUAAGUGAGACAGUUACUUAUAUUCCAUGCAAGCUAGGUGAUCUACAAUGGGGAGUUUUCUUCUUUGAGUAAGGAGAGUCUCUGUACCUUUUUUCUCCCAAGUUUUCUUUAAAAGUUUUUUUUUUAAAAAAAACUCUAAAAUGGCUGUAUGUUCUGAAAAAAAUCAGACUAAAUCAUUAGCUCAAAAUAAUCCACAUGCUCUGUAUUAUGGCUAAUAUCUUUGUCAGAUCAAACCUAUAGAUUUUACAAUUCACCUUAUAGUCAGGGAAUGCAAAUGAACAACCAAAUUAAAUAUUUCUCUUGGCAAAUUUUCCAUCUAUGGUUGUUUGGAUCGAUCAAAGAUUUCGAAACUGGUCAGAAAUUUAAUAGGUCAACAUAGCUACAUUGUUUAAUGUCUUAUUUCGCUAAAUCAGUUCAAGAUAUAUGCAACAAUAUAACAUUUUCUGAUGUACUAUCAAUAUAUUCUAUAUAUGCUCGUAUAAUAGUGUGAUUGACUCUGUAGGUGUUUCACAUCCAGCUAACCACAAAGGAUCAAUGCAUAGGUUAACCCACAAUUAUUGCAGCCCUAGAAAGUAUUGCUGAACUUUGCAUCAUGGAAAGAGUAUAUGUACCACACAAAAUAUCAAUGCCUUUAUUAUAUGUUGGCAUUUGAUUCAGUAUAAUUAAUGUGAUUCUACUUGAGUAUUACUUUCGAACGUGGUGGGCAACUUUCUAAAAUAUCUACCUCAUUUCAAUUGAGUUUCGAUAUGGCAUUUUAUUGUAUAUUCCAAUAUGGUGCACAUGGCAUUUUUUUCUUACAGGCAACAUUGCUUAUGUGAUUUUUCUGCUCUAAUGAUUUCCUGCUUUUGGAAUUUACUACUGAUCUAUCCUUUUGAAUUGAGAUUUUGCUUUCAUGGACAUGUUUAUAAAGUGAUGAUUAUAUUUAUUCAUUAUAGGAUCACUUGCCAGUAUAAUUUCAUUAAGAUACCAUCUUUUGACCAUGCAAUGUUUUGUGCAACCCUUUUUGGAAGAGGAGGAUAUAUAUGCCAUGUAGAACUUACAUAUUAUUUUUUGCAAAGCAAUUGCUAUGUUAAAAGAUUGCAACAAUUGAUGAAGAGAAGUAUGCGAUGAUGUUGCAAAUAAAGAACCACCUUUUUA